AGAAGACGAACUCCAAGAAGGCGGCACCUUGUCCUCAACUGAGAUGCCAUUCACGCUUCUGGCACCAACUGUAAUUUUCCUCUGGAGAAUCCCUUACCUUCCUCCGCCCAUGUGUUUUCAGGGAACUAGAAGCUACUCUGGGCUCCAGUCUUUUUUUCUUAUUUUUUUUAAGGAUUAUUUAUUUAUUUUUAAAGAUUGGCACCUGGGCUAACAACUGUUGCCAAUCCUUUUAUUUUCUGCUUUAUCUCCCCCAAACCCCCGUACACAGUUGUAUAUCUUUAGUUGCAGGUCCUUCUAGUCGUGGGAUGUGGGAUACCGCCUCAACGUGGCCUGACGAGUGGUGCCAUGUCUGCACCCAGGAUCCAAACCCUGGGCCGCAGCAGCGGAGCGCGUGAACUUAACCACUCGGCCACGGAGCCGGCCCCCGGGCUCCAGUCUUGAAGACUGUGCACACACAGCUCAAACCAAUCAGCACAUUCCAUCUGUCUGGCUGGAAAGAUUGCCUUGUUAUGGGCAUACCGUUGAAGUCGCCUACCGGGAUGAAUGUGAUUCAAUUCUGGGACUUUUAUUUGAGCUUUUCUACAGGAUCUUAAGCCUGAGAGGAUGUUCAGGCUGGAGCUGCUGUUGCCAUCCUACCUCCACGUUAAGUUUAUCAGAAAGGAUGGAAGGCUGAGCCCAGAAAUAGAGAAAAUGGAAUCCUGAUGGGCUCCAAAUCCUGUCAUGUCCAAUUCGGGACAACCAUGGAAUUUUCACUUACAUGGACCUACAAAUAUCGUUCUUAAGGAGCCCCAAAUUGAAUUCUGAUUGAUAAUACAGAGAAGCCAGAGAAGCAUAAGGUCUUGGCUCCUGAGAAAUAAAAGCUUCCAUCAAGGCCUACAACAGUGGCAACAGUUGGUUUCAUUGAAUUGGAAGCUGGCUCCCUGUUAUGCUCUGCUAAUAGGGGAUGCUAGAGAGGAGAUGCAAGCCUGGAGGAGAAAGAAGAGAAUGCAUCUUCCUGUAUGCUUCUAGUUCCUGUGUGAGCGGUCCUAGCCGUGAUUCUUAAUUUCAGGAGUGACUAGGCCUUCCCAUAGCAGCAGAUGAAAUCUGGUCCUCUUAUGCUAGAAAGCAUGCUGGAUUUGCUUGCUCCAGGACUUGGAUUCUAAUUCCAUUUCUGCCUCUUGCUAACUGUGGCAGCACUUCUCAUGGUCCUGUGGCCUCUCCGCAUUUCAGCUUUUCUGAAGGAUCUACCUACAUCUCUUGGAACUAACUCCUUGGUUGGGCCCCUCAUGGUAGAGUUUUGUGAGUGCCAUAUGGCCGCUAUUUGAAGACAGACCAGCUCAAAUAUACCUUUCAAACUGGAAGACAAGCUGGACCACAUCUUCAGCAGCUGUGGGAGAUGACUGACUGCCUAUUCCUUUGAGAGAGUAACCUUUGCUUGCAUUUAUACCAAACUUCCACACCCACGUCAGAACUGGAAUCCUUGAUCCCCCAUUGCCCGGACGAAAGUAAUUAUUGAACUUGUCCACUGAAACCAUCCUCUCAUGCCCAAAUGCAGUCAGUAGCCACAAGAAAAGAAGACAUUGAACUUCAAGAAGUUGGUUUGCAGUCUGGACUUGCAGCUCUAAACUCCACCCACCACAGUGAAAUUUUGGAUGGCAGCUGCUCAGGCAAGUGGGUUGACUGGGCUUUGACCUGGGUUUGUAAAUCAGGUUAACACUCCUGUUGUUACUGCUGCCCAUAGGAAGACAUUUUUUCUGGGAUGCUCUUCACUUAAAACAAACGCCACCCUUUAAACCCAUUAAUAGCUACUUCUAUAAUAGGAGUGAGAAUGAAAAUCUCUGAUUUUGAGAGUGUACAAAGAAGCGGCAGGUUACUCAGCUGCUGGAAGUAAUUGCUAUUUGUAUAUUCAAAAUACUCAAAUGUUCACCUAUAUGCCAUCCGGGACCUCAUUAGAAUAAGUUCGUCUAUUGUUCCUCAAUCAUUUUUCACUGUAACUCUAAAUUGGUUAUUUGAAUUCUUUCAAAGAAUGCUAUGGUUGGAUUACUUGGGGAUCUGGGUAUAAAAUGCAAUCUGUCCAGUGUUUAUAUGUAAUCUUAUCGGACCAUAUCUAACUGAAUGGUAGGAAUUAGAGGUAAUGGAUCAAAUCAAUUAUUUACCCUCCUCCAAAGUAAUAUGAUAAACCAGCAGAACAGUGUGAAAAUAUAGGGAAUUUAGUUAAUGGUGCUUUUGAUUAAGAAGAGAGCAGAAAAAUAAAAAGAAAAUGACAAAAACAACAGAAAAGAAGGCAUGUUUCCAGGAAAUCUUUUUUUCAGUAGUCCAUUUUGAUGUGCCAAAUUUUGGCUGUUUAUAUUCAAUGCAUUGUGACUACUGUUCAAGUCAAUGGUUUAGUAAUUUAAUUGUCAAUUUUGAGAAACAACCAUCAGGUAACACGUGGAGGCUGGUCACACCUGAGCAAGGUGUGUGCACCACGAGGAUCCACCACCCUGAGUGUCCAGGAAGGCCCCGGGAGAUAGAUGCCAGGCAGCAUUCCUCCAGAGAGAGCACUGUGAUCCUUGGGGACUCAUUUCAGGAAAGGCAGCUGCACGUCUCUGUCAGGGAUGUUUGGGCGAAGCCAUAUUUCCUCAGCUUCUCCAAGAGUGGAGGGACCUUUUCCUGAAGAGUCUGACAGGAUUUGUUUGGGCUAAGAGAUCUGAAUCCAGGGCUCCAAGUUGCUUUUUAGAUUUUAAGAAGCAUGAUUUUCAAAUGCCUACCAUGGAGUUCCUUCUCAGACAUCUCUGUAGUGACACAUUUAUGAGCACAGAGUAGGCAUUUAUUAGUGGUCUGUUGUUUACUGAACAGUAGUAAUGCAACGCAUUAAGGAAUUGUAUAUGGAAGGUUAAGGAACUGUACCUGGAAGGUGAGAAAAAUGGAAUGUUGGAAAAACAAAACAUUUCUUUGAAUGGCCACCAUAUGGAAGGAUCUAGAUGGGAAUUCAUCUAGUGAAGGGCAGCCAGGUUGUUGUUAUGUCCCCUUCCUUUCCUUUCUGUUGAGUUUCUCAGGAAAGAAAUUUAAGAGGGAGGAACAAGUGUAGAGAUCCAGGAAGUGUGAUGGGCUAUGGGUGGGGUGGGAGACAGAUGAAGGAAGCAACUGACUUAUGGAAUGCCCUUGCAUUUUAUUUCUUGUCUUCCUAGGAUUGGUUUCCUUCACAUUUGUGUAUGUGGGGUUCAGAUUAUGUCUCAGAGCUCUCAGGAGGAUUUGAUCAGACAAACUUACCCUUAACUCCAGUAUUGGGGAAUGGUGCUGGAUUUCCCAUUUGCUGACUUUUUAAGAUCACUCUUCUUUCUUUCUUUAUGCACAUUAUGAAAAAUUUAAAAAACAUAGGGAACAGGAAAAAAAGAAUUCUUGCAAUUCCAUUAUUCAAAGUAAGCCUUUGUUAAUGGUUGUGUCCCUUUUUCCAGUCUGUGUUUUUUCCAUAUAUAUGUAGAGCAUAGGGUCAGGACUAUAAUAUCUUUGGAGUCAGGAGGGUCUCAACUCAAGUACCUGUUCUCUCUACCAGCUGUGUGAACCUGAUAAGUAACUUAGCUUGGCUGAGUCUUUUACAUGGACUGAAUAUAAAAAUACCUAUAUUAGAUGGUGACUGUAAGAAUUAAAUGAGCUUAUGUGUGAAAGUUACUUAUGUUUUAGCUAACAUUAAUAUGGUAGCUAAUGUUAACACUAUUAGAAUUGUGAUAAUAUAGGAUACAUGCCAUUUCUUGCUUUUUCCACUGAACAUUAUAACCUGUUUUCUAGCUUAUUAUAAACUCAAUACAAUCAUUUUUUGCAAGUACAUAAUAUUUUAUUGCAUAUUUUACCAAAUUAUCAUAUUUUAGCACAUGUAAUUUCCUUUAAAUUGUGUACUAUUUUAGGAAUUUUUUUAUUCUAGAAAAUAUCAUCAAAAAGUAGAGGAUAGCAGUAGAGAUAAUAGGAAAAUUAUAUGAAAGGAGAGAAAAGAAGAAAAUAAAGAAUUCAAUCUGCUACUACAUGCAGUCUAAAACACACAAAAACUUUUCAAAUUUAAUAACUUAUUUUCACAUCUUGUAUUUUUAUUCAUGGAAAAUUAUUGCAAAUUAACGGAAUGGCAAGUUGGUUGUAAAAACCUCAUCAUGGUUGGUGAGAAAGAAUGCUUGCUAGCAAUCGAUGAAAAAGCAAAUAGUUUUGGAAGUACUUUAGUUGGAAGCAGUCAAAAUGAAACCAUAAAUCUUUGGAUUGAAGCUCCUCCUUAUUGUUGUCCUCGAGAACCAUAUACUUCUGCCAGAGAUCCAUCGUCCACGCCCCUGUCCCAUGUUGCUCACUUCUGAAUCCGUGCCACACAGGUGCAUUCCAUUUGGAGAAGCUAAAUCCCAAGGAAGAAAGUAGUCCCUAGACACAAAGUAGUCUGGGAUUGCAAAUUUUCUGGGCUAAUUGCAUAAAAAAUUACCACAGUGUUGGCAGAUGGUAUAAAGUUAUUUUACACCUGUUAAAGGUAAUGAAUGUCCACCAUUAGGUUUUUGGGAGGAGGGUAUUAGCUAAUGAUAAACAUCUUUUCACUUUCUGAUAUGAGGGAAACCCACAAUGUCACCUCUUGGGUUUACGGUGGCGAAGAAAAGUCUUUUACCGCCUUUGUGGUCUCUACGAAAUGUCUGGACUCUUGAUGUUGGGACAACCAGGGUAAUGAAGUUUUGUAUGUUGAAGGACCCCAAAUAGAGGAGCUUGUGCCAAUAGGGGAGCUUAAAUUUAAUUUGAUAGAUAUUUAGUGAGUACCUAUUUAUGUGCCAGGACUUAUAGAGGGAUUGAUCAUCCUUUAAUCUUCCUAAUUUCAUACUCUUCAUGCCUCUGUUGCCAACCAGCCUUCUAGAUCUGCAGUAACAACUGCCAAAUCUUAGUGACUUGCAACCACACAGGUUGAUUUCUUACUCACCAACAUGGGACCUAGGCUGAAGAAUGACCUCUAUUGGAACCUUGUGGGUUUGAGGCCCAAAGUGAAGAAUUGUGGUGGAACCAUGCGAUGGCUAUUUAAGCUUUUGCUGAGAACUUGUCCACAUCACUUCUGCUCACAUUCAUUAGUCAGCACAGGCAUAAUUGCCAAGUCUGAUAUCAAUGGUGUGGGGAUAUAUAAUCCUUUCUCAGGGAGUGGUAUUGAAAAAUUGAGAAUAAUAAUGUAAUUUGCCGCAUUACGUGUCAGGUUGGCAUCCUCCUCUGGAGUAACUGUGGCUCUUUUUUCAGAGCUGACUCCCAGAACUAAACAUGAAUAUUCCUUGUGUGGUCUGGCCAGUACAACAUACAGAGGUGCUAUAUAACCCUUUCCUCAGUCCUAAUAUUAAGCUUUUAUAAUAAAGCCUAACAUUGUAGUAGAUUUUGUUUAUUUUUAGUGGCCAUAUCACACUGUUAUGACCCAUCGAGACUGCUGUCAUCUGAAACCUUGGGUCUUUCCCAUUCCCACAUAUUUGUGCUCCAUCCUAUGCUGCCCCUCUUCUGUCCUUUGAUGUUAACCCCAAUUUGGACCAUAUAUCAGGAGUAAGCUAGUGGCUUCACACAUCAAGCAACUUUACAGAGAGGAAACAUUUCCCCGCUUGUGUGAUUUCCUCAAAGAUCCUUCAGAAUCCCUCUAUCUCACCUGUUAUGGAUUGAAUUGUAUCCUCCUAAAUUCCUGUGUUGAAGCUCUAACCCCUAAUGUGACUGAAUUUGGAGAUAGAGCCUUUAAAGAGGUAACUAAGGUUAAGUGAGGUCACAAAGAUGGAGCUCUAAUCCGAUAGGACUGCUGUCCUUAUACGAAGAGGAAGAGACGCCACGGGUCUGGAAGCACAGAGAAAGGCUAUGCGAGGACACGGUGAGAAGGCAGCCUCAGCAGAAAGCAAUCCUGCAAGAACCUUGAUCUUGAACUUCUGACCUCCAGAACUGUGAGAAGUAAAUGCCUGUUGUUUAAGCCCUCCAGUCUGUGGUAUCUUGUCGUGGCAGCCUGAGCAGACUAAUCCCCCACCCUACCCACCCUGCAUGCUCACGCAUGUGCACACAAACGCACACUCACACAUACUGUGAUGAGAGAAAGAAGGAGUACCUGGCCGAUCUACCUUGUAUCUUUGCCAAAAUUAUGACUCUAUGGAGUGUUCUUUGUGAAAUGUACCAAUUAAAGAAACACACAUAUUACAAAAAGGAUCUUUAAUUUAUAAGUAGUAGGCAUGACAUAAGCGUUUAAAAAUCACUGUGACUAAUAGCUACAGCUAAAAGGCAAGGGGAGGAAACUGCAGGGGAAGGAAAGAGCUAAAAUUAACUUGAAGGAAAAAUGGAUCUCCCAUUAAGCAUUAGAAGGCUAAGAUGAGUCCACCCUGUUGUUAUUCCAGGCCCUCACCUGUGUUACCCAUCACCAAACUGAUGAUUUCCUUUCUUGAGUGCCGGCCUUUUCAGUACUCUGCUUCCUCUAACCACUGCUCAGUGUGCCCUAGGCUUAUCCUGAGCCACUUUAGUUCAUGCCCCAUCUGAGGAACUCUUCACGGUACUCAGGGGAGGCCAGGGGUCUGUUCUGUAUAGCUAUGUGGAGAUUUUAAAUGUCCUGGGUGAUUAACAAGACAAGAAAUAACAAGUGUUGGAGAGGAUGUGGAGGAAAGGGGACCUUCAUACACUGCUGGUGGGAGUGCAAACUGGUAUAGCUGCUAUAGAAAACAGUAUGGAGAUUUCUCAAAAGCUUAAGAAUAGAACUACCAUGCGAUCCAGCUAUUCCACUGCUGGGUAUUUAUCUGAAGAACAUGAAAACACAAAUGCGUAAAGAUACAUGCACCCCUAUGUUCAUUGCAGCAUUAUUCACAAUAGCCAAGACUUGGAAGCAACCUCGGUGCCCAUCAAGAUACGAAUGGAUAAAGAAGAUGUGGUACAUAUACACAACGGAGUACUACUCAGCCAUAAGAAAUGAUGAAAUCUGACUAUUUGUGACAACAUGAAUGGACCUAAGGGUAUUAUGCUAAGCGAAAUAAGUCAGAGGGAGAAAGUCAAAUGCCAUAUCAUCCCACUCACAAAUAGAAGAUAAAAACAACAACAAACAAAAAUAUAGAGACAGACGUUGGAUUGGUGGUUACCAGAGGGGAAGGGGGAAGGAAAGAGGGUGAAAGAGGUGAUUAGGCACAUGUGUACGGUGAUGGGUUGUAAUUAGUCUUUGGGUGGUGAACAUGAUGUAGUCUACACAGAAUUCGAAAUAUAAUGAUGCCCAUUUGAAAUUUAUGUAAUGUUAUAAACCAUUGUUACCUCAAUUAAAAAAAAAUAAAUGUCCUAGGCAUUCUUCAAGGAUUCCCAGGAGAUUUUAAAGCACAUUUAUCCCGGGAACUCCACCCCAAACUUUGAAAACGUGUUGCUAUACACAUAUGAAUCAAUGCAUCCCAUAGUUUAUUUUAUGACUUGAACUUGCCUUCUCUUUAGUGUUGUCUACUCUUGUCAGUACUUCUGGAUGUUAAUGUAUGCAGCAUUCUGGGCCUAAGAAGGGCACUAUUUCUGGUUUGGACAUCGGCUAUUCACUUACUUUCUAAGCCUACCAUUGUCUUGCCAAAUUAUAAAUGGAAAGGUUGAAGUCAUCUCAGCUCCUCAAGCCACACUGUGUUUCAAAUCAAGUCAAAUCAAAACAAUAAGCCCCACCUGCAAGCUAAUUAGAUAGGUGUGGUUUGGGAUGCAGAGAAACUUAAAUUACAGUCUUUGGCUCCAAGGAAUUGAUGGUCUAACCCUAAACUAGGGGCUUGCAUCUUUCUAACCUGAAGAAAAUGGGAGAUCAAAAUAAGACAUUUCAGAAAGAAAGGAAAGUGAUCAUCACUAGUCUUGGGGGGUGGGUGCUGGUGAUGGAUGAAGUGAAAAGUUAACAACGUGACAGAGCAAAUGAGAGCCCAAGUCCUGGAGUCAGUGUUUGGGGUAUGUCCAGGGGUAUUCCCACUCACAUCGGGUUCUCAGACUCUCUCAGUUUCUGUUUCCCUGCUGCAGUAUGGAAAUAACAAGAGCCAAUCUACCAGACAGUGUUGUGAAAGGCAAUUAAAUGGGAUAAUAUGGAUAAAGGGCUUCAUAGGUGCUUGUUCUGGAAUAACUUCUCAAUAAAUUUUAGGACAGUUUGCUUUUUGCUUCUGAAUUUAAGAUGCAUUUCUCCAUAGGUACUAUUUUCAGAAUAAAUCACACAUUUUUCUUUAUCUUUAUAUGAGCUAUAUUUUUAAUUUAAUCGAGGCCCUCAAGUGUGUUAGGAGGGAGAAGAAAGUUUUUUCAUUCCUUAUGCAGGACUUUGCUAUCCUCCUGUUCAUUUUUUUUUUUUUUUUUAAAGAUUUUAUUUUUUCCGUUUUCUCCCCAAAGUCCCCCGGUACAUAGUUGUGUAUUCUUCGUUGUGGGUUCUUCUAGUUGUGGCAUGUGGGACGCUGCCUCAGCGUGGUUUGAUGAGCAGUGCCAUGUCCGCGCCCAGGAUUCGAACUAACGAAACACUGGGCCGUCUGCAGCGGAGCGCACGAACUUAACCACUCGGCCACGGGGCCAGCCCCUGUUCAUUUUUUUUUAACAUCAGGAAUGAAAAGAGGGAAGCCAGCCCCACCUGCGAGUCUGGGGCCGGGGGAGCUCAUAGUUCUGUUCCUGAUGGUCAUGUUGCUCCCUCUCUUUACAUUCUAAACCUCAUGAUUCUCUAAAAUCUCUCAAUUUCCUGAGUUUCCCUUCUCAUGGAGGCGGUGGCACAACCCCCUGUGUGGUCUGAGCUGGGGAUGGGAUUAAGAUUGAUUAAGAAUAAGGCUAUCUACAAGAAUCUGCCAUUUAUAAGUUGGGGGUUUGUCAGUUGUCUCUGUAUACGAAUGGUAAGUUGAAAGCAUAUAAACUAAAUUUCCACAAAAAGUGUUUGGUGGUUGAAUUGUCACUUUUUUUUGUGGGCAUGUGAGAGUUUUUCGCUUGGGCACAAGGAAUAAUUCUAGAUUAAUGUUUAAGUGUCAAUAAUUUUUCUUGCCAUAUUUUAAAAACAAUAUCGUAGAAUGAUACCCAUAUUCAUUCCGUGUCUCUUUUUUGUGUGUAUAUUUUUCUCUUUCUAUAGCCUAGAACAUUUUCUUCUUGAUUUCAUCACCUUUUAUAGCCAAGAAGUAAUUCCUUUCAAUCGAUUAAAUUGCAAGGCUGGAAAUCAUAAUUAUAUUACCACAGAUAUCAUUAAAAAUACAUACAACUGGAUAACAACAACAAAACAUCCCUUUAACUGCAUUUUUCUUUGUUCCUUAUCCACAGAGGAAAUAAAUUCCAAGUACUUAAUUUUAAAAGGUGAAGUUGGCUAGCCUUAGGGUUAAAACUCAUGGUAGAUAUUAAAUUGGCUAGAAAGCCAAGCAAUUGAUUGUGUACCUAAGUUCUAAAUUAACAUGCUCUUUAUAUAAAGAUAGAGUCACACAAUCUUUGCCUUUAUUAUCUUCUCUAUGUUGUGUGUGUGUGUGCGUGUGUGUGUGUGUGCGUGUGUAUGUGGUGUCUUAGGCUCUAAUGAAACCAUAAAAAGAACGAAACUUCACAAAUUUCAUAAAAGGUAAAUGUACA
ensembl:lncRNA